rnacentral:rRNA from 1 species
AUCGAUCCUAGUCGGCGCCCUUUAACCUGUUAAGGACGUGGCAGACGGCUCAGUAACACGUAGCCAACCUACCCUAGAGACGUGGAUAACCCCGGGAAACUGGGAUUAAUCCUCGAUAGACCAAGACUUCUGGAAUGGGUUUCGGUUGAAAAGGGUGAGCGAGCAUGUUUGUUCACUUGCUUUAGGAUGGGGCUGCGGUCGAUCAGGUUGUUGGUGGGGUAAUGGCCCACCAAGCCAAUGACCGGUACGGGCUUUGAGAGAAGGAGCCUGGAGAUGGACACUGAGACAAGGGUCCAGGCCCUACGGGGCGCAGCAGGCGCGAAAACUUCGCAAUGCGCUAAAGCGCGACGAGGCUACUCUGAGUGCUACCCGCUGAGGGUGGCUUUUCCUAGGUCUAAAUAGCCUAGGGAAUAAGGGGAGGGCAGGCCUGGUGUCAGCCGCCGCGGUAAUACCAGCUCCCCGAGUGGUUGGGAUGUUUAUUGGGCCUAAAGCAUCCGUAGCCGGUUCUGUAGGUCUCCCGUUAAAUUCAACGGCUCAACCGUUGAGCUGCCGGAGAUACCGCAGGGCUAGGAGGCGGGAGAGGCGGACGGUACUCCGUGGGUAGGGGCAAAAUCCUCUGAUCCACGGAAGACCACCAGUGGCGAAGGCGGUCUGCCAGAACGCGCUCGACGGUGAGGGAUGAAAGCUGGGGGAGCGAACCGGAUUAGAUACCCGGGUAGUCCCAGCUGUAAACGAUGCGAGCUAGGUGAUUGAGUGACCACGCGUUACUCAAGUGCCGCAUGGAAGCAGUUAAGCUCGCCGCCUUGGGGAGUACGGUCGCAAGACUGAAACUUAAAG